AAGAAGAUAGCUCAGCGGGAGAGCACCCUGAAAAUGCGGUGGUCGGUGGUUCAACUCCACCUCUUCUUU
rnacentral:tRNA from 2 species